GAACGGUGAAGCAGAGCUUGCUCUGUGGAUCAGUGGCGAACGGGUGAGUAACACGUGAGCAAUCUGCCCCUGACUCUGGGAUAAGCGCUGGAAACGGCGUCUAAUACCGGAUACGAGCUGCGACCGCAUGGUCAGUAGCUGGAAAGAAUUUCGGUCAGGGAUGAGCUCGCGGCCUAUCAGCUUGUUGGUGAGGUAAUGGCUCACCAAGGCGUCGACGGGUAGCCGGCCUGAGAGGGUGACCGGCCACACUGGGACUGAGACACGGCCCAGACUCCUACGGGAGGCAGCAGUGGGGAAUAUUGCACAAUGGGCGAAAGCCUGAUGCAGCAACGCCGCGUGAGGGAUGACGGCCUUCGGGUUGUAAACCUCUUUUAGCAGGGAAGAAGCGAAAGUGACGGUACCUGCAGAAAAAGCGCCGGCUAACUACGUGCCAGCAGCCGCGGUAAUACGUAGGGCGCAAGCGUUAUCCGGAAUUAUUGGGCGUAAAGAGCUCGUAGGCGGUCUGUCGCGUCUGCUGUGAAAACCCGAGGCUCAACCUCGGGCCUGCAGUGGGUACGGGCAGACUAGAGUGCGGUAGGGGAGAUUGGAAUUCCUGGUGUAGCGGUGGAAUGCGCAGAUAUCAGGAGGAACACCGAUGGCGAAGGCAGAUCUCUGGGCCGUAACUGACGCUGAGGAGCGAAAGGGUGGGGAGCAAACAGGCUUAGAUACCCUGGUAGUCCACCCCGUAAACGUUGGGAACUAGUUGUGGGGUCCAUUCCACGGAUUCCGUGACGCAGCUAACGCAUUAAGUUCCCCGCCUGGGGAGUACGGCCGCAAGGCUAAAACUCAAAGGAAUUGACGGGGACCCGCACAAGCGGCGGAGCAUGCGGAUUAAUUCGAUGCAACGCGAAGAACCUUACCAAGGCUUGACAUAUAGAGGAAACGUCUGGAAACAGUCGCCCCGCAAGGUCUCUAUACAGGUGGUGCAUGGUUGUCGUCAGCUCGUGUCGUGAGAUGUUGGGUUAAGUCCCGCAACGAGCGCAACCCUCGUUCUAUGUUGCCAGCACGUAAUGGUGGGAACUCAUGGGAUACUGCCGGGGUCAACUCGGAGGAAGGUGGGGAUGACGUCAAAUCAUCAUGCCCCUUAUGUCUUGGGCUUCACGCAUGCUACAAUGGCCGGUACAAAGGGCUGCAAUACCGUGAGGUGGAGCGAAUCCCAAAAAGCCGGUCCCAGUUCGGAUUGAGGUCUGCAACUCGACCUCAUGAAGUCGGAGUCGCUAGUAAUCGCAGAUCAGCAACGCUGCGGUGAAUACGUUCCCGGG
rnacentral:rRNA from 1 species